rnacentral:lncRNA from 1 species
CUUGUCCUGUGCUAUCCUCCACUGGCUUGAUUCAUUGAUUUGCACUUUGCUUAUUAGAGAGUACUGUCAGAGUUGUUGAGUACGUCACAAACUGGCUUGCUGUGUGCACAGCACAUAAAUGCCUGCAGUAAAGUCCUUUAAAUUAUACUGUAUUUAGCAUUUUAAUGCUUCUUAAACUUUAGCUUCUCACAUUGAAAAGUAGAUUCAGAAAGAUAAGAGAAGUACCUAGACUGCCAGCUCCUUGAGCUGCUAGUUAGAUGUGAAAGGGAUUAAGUUAUAUACAUGUAUUCUCUUCCCAUUACCAAAAAUGAGGUAUGUGUUAAGUAAUAUCAGUACAAAUAAUAUGAGGAGAAAGAUGACAAACCAAAUCAUAUAUGUAGUGUUUAACCUGAAGCCAUCCCCACAUCCUUAAAACCAUAAACCACAUCCCAUUUUCCCCCCUCAUGCUUAAAGAACAGAGGUAAACAUUAACUGUCUAAAGGAAUUGGUAAUGAGACACGUAUGAUUACAAACCAAACCUGUUGAAAUGAACUUUAAAAGACAUCAGAAUUAUCAGCCAUCAUGUUUCGACACUGUAAAUGCAGGAAUGACUGCUUCUAUUAAACCCUAAAAUUGUGUAUGGAGUUAUGAAGAAAUUGUAACAGGAUACAGUUGGGUUAAUUAUGCAAUAUAUCUUACCAAUUGUCUAGCCCUUGUGUAUUGUUC